UCGCUACUACCGAUUGAAUGGCUUAGUGAGUUCUAGAGAUUGGGGCUUUGCGCCGGCUUGCCGGCGUUGGGCCUCGAGAACUAGUGCAAACUUGAUCAUUUAGAGGAAGUAA
rnacentral:rRNA from 1 species